rnacentral:rRNA from 1 species
GACGUAGGGCGCGAGCGUUGUCCGGAUUUAUUGGGCGUAAAGAGCUCGUAGGCGGUUUCGUAAGUCGGGUGUGAAAUCCCCAGGCUCAACCCCGGGCCUGCAGCCGAUACGGGCAAGCUAGAAUUCGGUAGGGGAGACUGGAAUUCCUGGUGUAGCGGUGAAAUGCGCAGAUAUCAGGAGGAAUACCGGUGGCGAAAGCGACUCUCUGGACGGCAACUGACGCUGAGGCACGAAAGCGUGGGGAGCAAACAGG